UACGUAGGAUCCAAGCGUUGUCCGGAGUUACUGGGCGUAAAGGGUGUGUAGGGCGGUUGUUUAAGUUUGGUGUGAAAUCUCCCCGGCUCAACUGGGAGGGUGCGCCGAAUACUGAAUGACUAGAGUGCGGGAGAGGUGAGUGGAAUUCCUGGUGUAGCGGUGAAAUGCGUAGAUAUCAGGAGGAACACCGGUGGUGUAGACGGCUCACUGGACCGUAACUGACGCUGAGACACGAAAGCGUGGGUAGCAAACAGG
rnacentral:rRNA from 1 species